GGAAGUAAAAGUCGUAACAAGGUCUCCGUUGGUGAACCAGCGGAGGGAUCAUUGCUGGAACGCGCCCCAGGCGCACCCAGAAACCCUUUGUGAACUUAUACCUUACUGUUGCCUCGGCGCAUGCCGGCCCCCCCGGGGGCCCCUCGGAGACGAGGAGCAGGCACGCCGGCGGCCAAGUUAACUCUUGUUUUUACACUGAAACUCUGAGAAAAAAACACAAAUGAAUCAAAACUUUCAACAACGGAUCUCUUGGUUCUGGCAUCGAUGAAGAACGCAGCGAAAUGCGAUAAGUAAUGUGAAUUGCAGAAUUCAGUGAAUCAUCGAAUCUUUGAACGCACAUUGCGCCCUCUGGUAUUCCGGAGGGCAUGCCUGUUCGAGCGUCAUUUCAACCCUCAAGCAUUGCUUGGUGUUGGGGCACUGCUUCUUACCCAAGAAGCAGGCCCUGAAAUCUAGUGGCGAGCUCGCCAGGACCCCGAGCGCAGCAGUUAAACCCUCGCUCUGGAAGGCCCUGGCGGUGCCCUGCCGUUAAACCCCCAACUUUUGAAAAUUUGACCUCGGAUCAGGUAGGAAUACCCGCUGAACUUAAGCAUAUCAAUAAGCGGAGGAA
rnacentral:rRNA from 1 species